GAUGAAGAACGUAGUGAAAUGCGAUAAGUAAUGUGAAUUGCAGAAUUCAGUGAAUCAUCGAAUCUUUGAACGCACAUUGCGCCCGCCAGUAUUCUGGCGGGCAUGCCUGUCCGAGCGUCAUUUCAACCCUCGAACCCCUCCGGGGGGUCGGCGUUGGGGAUCGGCCCUGCCUCUUGGCGGUGGCCGUCUCCGAAAUACAGUGGCGGUCUCGCCGCAGCCUCUCCUGCGCAGUAGUUUGCACACUCGCAUCGGGAGCGCGGCGCGUCCACAGCCGUUAAACACCCAACUUCUGAAAUGUUGACCUCGGAUCAGGUAGGAAUACCCGCUGAACUAAAGCAUAUCAAUAAGCGGAGGA
rnacentral:misc_RNA from 1 species